UACAUGAGUUUGGCUGGCUGAUGAACUGUGACAACGUACACGAAGUACACAACGCACAGGGAGAUCAGUACAGUGAAAAGCCGUACCGCGGUGCAGCGAGUUGAGGAAACAACGAAAGAUUCAAACAUGGCCGCCAAAGAUGUAUCCAGUGUUAUCGACGCGGAGACGGUAGACUUUGAAGAGAAUUCACGUCGACCUUCAUCAUCCAAGUCAUCAGUCCACAGUCGAUCGAGAGCUAGUGCUAACUCCAAGCGCUCGUCAUCCUACAAUUCCGUUCUGGAAGCAGCUGCCAGAGCCAGAGCUUCGGCUGAAGCAGCGGCAACCAAGGUGGGUGAGGGCCGAGUGGAGGGCAGAGCAGAUGGCAUCCUCAGAG